rnacentral:rRNA from 2 species
AGUCGAGCGGACAGAUGGGAGCUUGCUCCCUGAUGUUAGCGGCGGACGGGUGAGUAACACGUGGGUAACCUGCCUGUAAGACUGGGAUAACUCCGGGAAACCGGGGCUAAUACCGGAUGGUUGUUUGAACCGCAUGGUUCAAACAUAAAAGGUGGCUUCGGCUACCACUUACAGAUGGACCCGCGGCGCAUUAGCUAGUUGGUGAGGUAACGGCUCACCAAGGCAACGAUGCGUAGCCGACCUGAGAGGGUGAUCGGCCACACUGGGACUGAGACACGGCCCAGACUCCUACGGGAGGCAGCAGUAGGGAAUCUUCCGCAAUGGACGAAAGUCUGACGGAGCAACGCCGCGUGAGUGAUGAAGGUUUUCGGAUCGUAAAGCUCUGUUGUUAGGGAAGAACAAGUACCGUUCGAAUAGGGCGGUACCUUGACGGUACCUAACCAGAAAGCCACGGCUAACUACGUGCCAGCAGCCGCGGUAAUACGUAGGUGGCAAGCGUUGUCCGGAAUUAUUGGGCGUAAAGGGCUCGCAGGCGGUUUCUUAAGUCUGAUGUGAAAGCCCC